GAUGAACGCUGGCGGCGUGCCUAAUACAUGCAAGUAGAACGCACAGUUUAUACCGUAGCUUGCUACACCAUAGACUGUGAGUUGCGAACGGGUGAGUAACGCGUAGGUAACCUGCCUGGUAGCGGGGGAUAACUAUUGGAAACGAUAGCUAAUACCGCAUAAUAUUAAUUAUUGCAUGAUAAUUAAUUGAAAGGUGCAAUUGCACCACUACCAGAUGGACCUGCGUUGUAUUAGCUAGUAGGUGAGGUAACGGCUCACCUAGGCUACGAUACAUAGCCGACCUGAGAGGGUGAUCGGCCACACUGGGACUGAGACACGGCCCAGACUCCUACGGGAGGCAGCAGUAGGGAAUCUUCGGCAAUGGACGAAAGUCUGACCGAGCAACGCCGCGUGAGGGAAGAAGGGUUUCGGAUCGUAAAGCUCUGUUGUAAGAGAAGAACGGGUGUGAGAGUGGAAAGUUCACACUGUGACGGUAUCUUACCAGAAAGGGACGGCUAACUACGUG
rnacentral:rRNA from 1 species